rnacentral:lncRNA from 1 species
AUGGGGACUUCCCGGGGCGGGACUGACUGCGGUCCCCCAAGCCCUCUGUGUCCCCAGUGGCUCCCGCGUCCCUCAGCAGAGCGGGGCAGGAGGUGUCCAUGGCGGCUCCUGGACCAAGGUAACUACUGCCCAGUAAGGGCGGCUCUACAAGGUUUAAGACCCAAAGAAGCCCAGAAACUCGAUCUGCACCAGCAAGAAGACUUCCUGUGGAAGGACCUCUUGAAGGUAAUGAACUCACCCACAGGAGGGCAGGGUCACCCCAGACAGCCAGGGUGUCCACUGGCUUUGUGUCUGUGUGCAGGGAAUGGAGGAGGUGCAUAGGGGAGGGGGCGGGUGGGACUCACACUGAUGCCCAUGGGCCCUCAUUGGUCAGGGGUGAGUACAGAGGGGCUGCGGGCUUCACCCCUGUGGUUUCUGGAGGCUCCAGCAGCAUCAGCCAUACCGUGUGGGCUUGCUGUGUGCAGCUCUGUACCAGGGUCUAAGGAGGGGAGAGGCCGCGGCAGCUCCUGACAGGCCCCAGGCUGCAGCAGCCGGGGGUCCCUCUCCUGAGACGUGGAGCCGAGGUCUCGGCACUGCUCGUCCUUGCCCUCUGCCCCAGCCCUGACCAGGCAGUGUGGCCAAGCGCCUAGGAGCAUCCUCACCGCCAUCCCAUCCUCAGGACAGAGAGACUGCCCCGGGGUCUCCAUGGGAGAUGCAGCAGCUCCCACCUGGACAAGGGAGCGCAGACGCUGGGCAGGUGGAGGUGGGGCUGCCAGAUGCAGGGAGACCGUGUCCUGGGCGUUUCUGUCCUUCCUGCAGGCCAUGGCUCCUGUGCCGGAGGCCCCUGGCCCAUUCCCCAU